rnacentral:rRNA from 1 species
GCGGUAAUACGUAGGUGGCGAGCGUUGUCCGGAAUUAUUGGGCGUAAAGGGAGCGCAGGUGGGAAAGUAAGUCAGUCUUAAAAGUGCGGGGCUCAACCCCGUGAGGGGAUUGAAACUACUUUUCUUGAGUGCAGGAGAGGAAAGCGGAAUUCCUAGUGUAGCGGUGAAAUGCGUAGAUAUUAGGAGGAACACCAGUGGCGAAGGCGGCUUUCUGGACUGUCACUGACACUGAGGCUCGAAAGCCAGGGGAGCGAACGGGAUUAGAUACCCCGGUAGUCCUGGCCGUAAACGAUGGAUACUAGGUGUAGGAGGUAUCGACCCCUUCUGUGCCGGAGUUAACGCAAUAAGUAUCCCGCCUGGGGAGUACGGUCGCAAGACUGCAACUCAAAGGAAUUGACGGAAUA